UACGAAGGGGGCUAGCGUUGUUCGGAAUUACUGGGCGUAAAGCGCACGUAGGCGGAUAUUUAAGUCAGGGGUGAAAUCCCAGAGCUCAACUCUGGAACUGCCUUUGAUACUGGGUAUCUUGAGUAUGGAAGAGGUAAGUGGAAUUGCGAGUGUAGAGGUGAAAUUCGUAGAUAUUCGCAGGAACACCAGUGGCGAAGGCGGCUUACUGGUCCAUUACUGACGCUGAGGCACGAAAGCGUGGGGAGCAAACAGGG
rnacentral:rRNA from 1 species